CGGUGAAUACGUUCCCGGACCUUGUACACACCGCCCGACAAGCCAUGGAAGCUGGGUGUACCUAAAGUCGAUAACCGCAAGGAGUCGCCUAGGGUAAAACUAGUAACUGGGGCU
rnacentral:rRNA from 1 species